rnacentral:piRNA from 1 species
UGUAGUGAAGGGGUUGGCUGGCCUUGU